AUUGAACGCUGGUGGCAUGCUUUACACAUGCAAGUCGGACGAGUGGCGAACGGGUGAGUAAUAUAACGGAACGUACCGAGUAAUGGGGGAUAACUAAUCGAAAGAGUAGCUAAUACCGCAAAGUAUUCGAGCGGCCGAUAUUGGAUUAGCUGGUUGGUGGGGUAAAGGCCUACCAAGGCGACGAUCAGUAGCGGGUCUGAGAGGGUGAUCCGCCACACUGGGACUUAGACACGGCCCAGACUCCUACGGGAGGCAGCAGUGGGGAAUUUUGGACAAUGGGCGCAACCCUGAUCCAGCCAUGCCGCGUGUCUGAAGAAGGCCUUCGGGUUGUAAAGGACUUUUGUCAGGGAAGCGGUACCUGACGAAUAAGCCCCGGCUAACUACGUGCCAGCAGCCGCGGUAAUUC
rnacentral:rRNA from 1 species